AUGAGGUGAUGUGAAAAUUCAUGGUCUGUCAAUCCACUGACAUCUAUCCAUGAUGUUGCUCGUGAUAUCCCGAAAUGUUCUGAUCAU
rfam:Musa acuminata subsp. malaccensis Doubled-haploid Pahang (DH-Pahang) genomic chromosome, chr5